rnacentral:rRNA from 1 species
AUUGAACGCUGGCGGCAGGCCUAACACAUGCAAGUCGAGCGGAUGAAGGGAGCUUGCUCCUGGAUUCAGCGGCGGACGGGUGAGUAAUGCCUAGGAAUCUGCCUGGUAGUGGGGGAUAACGUCCGGAAACGGGCGCUAAUACCGCAUACGUCCUGAGGGAGAAAGUGGGGGAUCUUCGGACCUCACGCUAUCAGAUGAGCCUAGGUCGGAUUAGCUAGUUGGUGGGGUAAAGGCCUACCAAGGCGACGAUCCGUAACUGGUCUGAGAGGAUGAUCAGUCACACUGGAACUGAGACACGGUCCAGACUCCUACGGGAGGCAGCAGUGGGGAAUAUUGGACAAUGGGCGAAAGCCUGAUCCAGCCAUGCCGCGUGUGUGAAGAAGGUCUUCGGAUUGUAAAGCACUUUAAGUUGGGAGGAAGCGCAGUAAGUUAAUACCUUGCUGUUUUGACGUUACCAACAGAAUAAGCACCGGCUAACUUCGUG